UUUUUAAUCAUGAAAACAAGUUAAAACAUCUUCUUAAAUGUAAAACAACAACAAUCUCUCACCUGGGUGGAAACAGCAUCAGCAGGAUAAAAGAAUAGUGAGGACAAUACAGCUCCUUCAGCAUCAGACAACACUUAAUCUGUAGCUGAGGUGGAAACAAGGUCGUCAGAUCAAGAGGCACAGACAUGUCAGGAGGAUGCUGCUCCAAUGGACAACACAGGUGGACAGCAGUGUGCCACACUGAAAAUCCCUGCAUACACCAGGGGCCGCAGCCAAGAUGUGGAACAGACCAGGAAACUAGCUCACGACAAGAUCCACGUGGAACGAGUUAUUGGUUGUAUGCGCACCAAGUUUAACAUUAAAUGGGACCAUGCGCCUGGGUGUUGUGGUCAAAUAUGAA